AUAGCGUAUAUUAAAGUUGUUGCAGUUAAAAAGCUCGUAGUUGAACUUCAGGCUCGGUCGGGCGGUCCGCCUCACGGCGUGUACUGUCUGACUGGGUCUUACCUCUUGGUGAGCCAGCGUGGCCUUUAUUGGUUGCGUUGGGGAACCAGGACUUUUACCUUGAGAAAAUUAGAGUGUUCAAAGCAGGCCUAUGUCUGAAUACAUUAGCAUGGAAUAAUAGAAUAGGACGUGCGAUCCUAUUUUGUUGGUUUCUAGAGUCGCCGUAAUGAUUAAUAGGGAUAGUUGGGGGCAUUGGUAUUGAGUCGCUAGAGGUGAAAUUCUUGGAUUGACUCAAGACCAACUAUUG
rnacentral:rRNA from 1 species